rnacentral:rRNA from 1 species
AUUGAACGCUGGCGGCAGGCUUAACACAUGCAAGUCGAGCGGAGAUGAGGUGCUUGCACCUUAUCUUAGCGGCGGACGGGUGAGUAAUGCUUAGGAAUCUGCCUAUUAGUGGGGGACAACAUUCCGAAAGGAAUGCUAAUACCGCAUACGUCCUACGGGAGAAAGCAGGGGAUCUUCGGACCUUGCGCUAAUAGAUGAGCCUAAGUCGGAUUAGCUAGUUGGGGGGGUAAAGGCCUACCAAGGCGACGAUCUGUAGCGGGUCUGAGAGGAUGACCCGCCAAACUGGGACUGGGACACGGCCCAGACUCCUACGGGAGGCAUCAGUGGGUAAGAUUGGACAAUGGGGGGAACCCUGAUCCAGCCAUGCCGCGUGUGUGAAGAAGGCCUUAUGGUUGUAAAGCACUUUAAGCGAGGAGGAGGCUACUGAGACUAAUACUCUUGGAUAGUGGACGUUACUCGCAGAAUAAGCACCGGCUAACUCUGUGCCAGCAGCCGCCGUAA